rnacentral:tRNA from 2 species
GGGCGAUUAGCUCAGUUGGUCAGAGCGCUUCCCUUACAAGGAAGAGGCCGUUGGUUCGAGUCCAACAUCGCCCACCA